AUUGAACGCUGGCGGCAGGCUUAACACAUGCAAGUCGAGCGGAGAUAUGGUGCUUGCACUAUAUCUUAGCGGCGGACGGGUGAGUAAUGCUUAGGAAUCUGCCUAUUAGUGGGGGACAACAUUCCGAAAGGAAUGCUAAUACCGCAUACGCCCUACGGGGGAAAGCAGGGGAUCUUCGGACCUUGUGCUAAUAGAUGAGCCUAAGUCGGAUUAGCUAGUUGGUGGGGUAAAGGCCUACCAAGGCGACGAUCUGUAGCGGGUCUGAGAGGAUGAUCCGCCACACUGGGACUGAGACACGGCCCAGACUCCUACGGGAGGCAGCAGUGGGGAAUAUUGGACAAUGGGCGCAAGCCUGAUCCAGCCAUGCCGCGUGUGUGAAGAAGGCCUUUUGGUUGUAAAGCACUUUAAGCGAGGAGGAGGCUACUCUAGUUAAUACCUAGGGAUAGUGGACGUUACUCGCAGAAUAAGCACCGGCUAACUCUGUGCCAGCAGCCGCCGUAA
rnacentral:rRNA from 1 species